rnacentral:rRNA from 1 species
GCCCUACGGGGCGCAGCAGUCGCGAAAACUUUGCAAUACACGAAAGUGUGACAGGGCUAUCCCGAGUGCCAUCCGCUGAGGAAGGCUUUUACCCAGUCUAGAACGCUGGGGGAAUAAGGAGAGGGCAAGUCUGGUGUCAGCCGCCGCGGUAAUACCAGCUCUCCGAGUGGUGUGGAUGUUUAUUGGGCCUAAAGCAUCCGUAGCUGGCUGAGUUAGUCCCUUGUUAAAUCCACCGAAUUAAUCGUUGGAUUGCGGGGGAUACUGCUCGGCUAGGGACGAGAG